rnacentral:rRNA from 1 species
UACGUAGGGUGCGAGCGUUGCCCGGAUUUAUUGGGCGUAAAGGGCGCGUAGGCGGCACCGCAAGUCGACUGUGAAAUCUCCGGGCUUAACCCGGAAAGGUCAGCCGAUACUGCAGGGCUAGAGUGCAGAAGGGGCAACUGGAAUUCUCGGUGUAGCGGUGAAAUGCGUAGAUAUCGAGAGGAACACCUGCGGCGAAGGCGGGUUGCUGGGCUGACACGUGACGCUGAGGCGCGAAAGCUAGGGGAGCGAACGGG